rnacentral:rRNA from 1 species
UACGUAGGUGGCAAGCGUUGUCCGGAUUUACUGGGCGUAAAGGGCGUGCAGGCGGUUUGUUAAGUGCAGAGUGAAAGCUCCCGGCUCAACUGGGAGAGGUCUUUGCAUACUGGCAAACUCGAGGGAGGCAGAGGAAAGUGGAAUUCCCGGUGUAGUGGUGAUAUGCGUAGAUAUCGGGAGGAACGCCUGUGGCGAAGGCGGCUUUCUGGGCCUUACCUGACGCUGAGACGCGAAAGCGUGGGGAGCGAACCGG